GGGUUUUGUGCCAGACAGGCCGUUUCCAGGGACAGGCAGUUCCCAGCCUCUGCCUGUCAGAACUCAGGGCCUCAGAGGAAGGCCCGUUUUGUUCAGUUCUAAAACAAAACAAAACAAAGCAAUGGGGGGCGCGGUGUGACUUAGAGAGCCAGGAGGCGCGCCUUUGGUGACAAUUUCUGCAGCUCCCUUCUUCCUUCCCUCUGUGCCCGUGGCGUCUGCUUCCCAUCCUGGGAGUGUGUAUAUAUGUAGCAUAUCAUGGGGGACUGGGAAGUUGGGAGAGGUAGGACCUGACUGGUCUUGGCUGGGGUCAGGGGCUGGUGCCUGGGAGCUGAUGAAGCAGGUGCCAGGGCUGUGGGAGGGGCAAGCUACGGCCUGGGCUAGGUGAGCUGCCUCUGCCCCUGGGCAAGGAAGCGAGGCCCUCUGGGAGGAGGGUGCUUAGCUCCAGAGCAGGAUGGGACUUCCCCAGGCAGGAAGCACUUGAUGGAGAGCUGCCCAGCUCUCCUACAAGGUUAGUGCCCUCCACCUAGGGAAGCAUGAACCACAGGGUCCCUGAGGGCCUUCGACAAAAGUGUGUAUUUGUCCCGGGGAGGGUAGCAGUGGGCCAUGGGGCUUCUUGUGCCCUAAAGGGGACUGGCUGCUGUGAUCUUCUAAGGGGCCCAGGGCCAACCCUGUAGGCUUCCCCUCUGCUGGGGACGGUAGUUGCUUUUCUCUCUCCUGAUGCUAGGUUGGGGCCCACCCUGCUCCCUGUUCCUGCUAGGGCCUGCCAGUGCCCCUGAGCUUGCUUUCCACAUUCUCCCAGGGUAUGGAGACCUAGACCUGUCUUUGGGGCCAUUAGCAUCUGGGGUUAUAGCAAGAAGAGUGGGGAGCAUGGAACUCCUGGGCUCUUGUGGGGACGUUCAGGGUAUCGGGGUGCGAGGUCUGUCUGCACCGGCCCCCACAUCUAACCAGGCCCUGAUGUAGGGGUCGUCCGCUCAGGCUGCCCCCUUGGGCUCUUGCAGCUCUUGUUCAGGUAGUCGCCCUUCUGGUUUGUUCUCUGUGGGGCAGUUGGUGGGGGCUGGGGGAAGAGGCUGGCAGAAGUUACCCUGGAUAGGGAAGGGGGAGGAGGGGACUUUUAGAGCCAGCAGGCCCCACUGUAUUAUGUAUAUAUUUUUCAAGGUCUGUUUUUCUAACUGAAAAGCUAAGGGCUUGAUUCCUAGCCCCGUUCUGUGGGGCACUGGGUGAUACUCAGUUUCUUGUUCCUGGCCGUGGAGAGGGGCCUGGGGCACUGGUUCCGGCUGUGUCUGGUGGUCUGGCUGCGGGGAAGGGGCAAGAAGGCGGGCAGGCCUUCACUGCAGCACUGAGCCUCAAAUCCGCUCUGGAGCAUGAGGCUGGAUGCAGUGGUGGUGAGGCCGCCCCGCUCCAUCCCGAGGCAGCCAGGGUUUGUUUUGCGCUCUCCUGUCACAAAUGCUGCACUAUUGGUUCUUAAGUUUUUUAUCUCCAGAUCCUAAUUUAUGCCUAUGCAAAAAAUAAAUGACGCCCAAGAGCUG
rnacentral:lncRNA from 1 species